CCUAUAAGACUGGGAUAACUUCGGGAAACCGGGGCUAAUACCGGAUAAUAUUUUGAACCGCAUGGUUCAAUAGUGAAAGACGGUUUCGGCUGUCACUUAUAGAUGGACCCGCGCCGUAUUAGCUAGUUGGUAAGGUAACGGCUUACCAAGGCGACGAUACGUAGCCGACCUGAGAGGGUGAUCGGCCACACUGGAACUGAGACACGGUCCAGACUCCUACGGGAGGCAGCAGUAGGGAAUCUUCCGCAAUGGGCGAAAGCCUGACGGAGCAACGCCGCGUGAGUGAUGAAGGUCUUCGGAUCGUAAAACUCUGUUGUUAGGGAAGAACAAAUUUGUUGGUAACUGAACAAGUCUUGACGGUACCUAACCAGAAAGCCACGGCUAACUACGUGCCAGCAGCCGCGGUAAUACGUAGGUGGCAAGCGUUAUCCGGAAUUAUUGGGCGUAAAGCGCGCGUAGGCGGUUUCUUAUGUCUGAUGUGAAAGCCCACGGCUCAACCGUGGAGGGUCAUUGGAAACUGGGAAACUUGAGUGCAGAAGAGGAGAGUGGAAUUCCAUGUGUAGCGGUGAAAUGCGCAGAGAUAUGGAGGAACACCAGUGGCGAAGGCGGCUCUCUGGUCUGUAACUGACGCUGAUGUGCGAAAGCGUGGGGAUCAAACAGGAUUAGAUACCCUGGUAGUCCACGCCGUAAACGACGAGUGCUAAGUGUUAGGGGGUUUCCGCCCCUUAGUGCUGCAGCUAACGCAUUAAGCACUCCGCCUGGGGAGUACGACCGCAAGGUUGAAACUCAAA
rnacentral:rRNA from 1 species